UACAGAGGGGGCUAGCGUUAUUCGGAAUUAUUGGGCGUAAAGGGCGCGUAGGCGGCCAUGCGUGUCUUCCGUGAAAUCCCUCGGCUUAACUGAGGACGUGCGGAAGAAACUGCAAGGCUCGAGUCCGGGAGAGGGGGGUGGAAUUCCCAGUGUAGCGGUGAAAUGCGUAGAUAUCUGGAGGAACACCGGUGGCGAAGGCGGCAUCCUGGACCAAAUCUGACGCUGAGGAGCGAAAGCCAGGGGAGCAAACGGG
rnacentral:rRNA from 1 species